rnacentral:lncRNA from 1 species
AUUACUAAGGCCAGGAUUUUUUAAUUUAUUGGUUUACGGAUCCGCCGACCCGAUUUUGCUGAUUUCCAGAAUAAAAAUAAAAUUCACUUUUCACGCUUUUUUAUUCCCCCGACCUUAACAAAUGCAUUAUCCCUGAAAAAUAAUUAAAAUAUUUUUUUUCCUGAAAUGAAAUGCAUUAAUCACUAACAAAAUUGACAACCAUUUCUGGUGUGAAAAAAAACACCUUCCAGUUUACGUUUCUAAAUAUAGACAAAUGAAUUAUAACUGACCUUGAAAUGUCGUUUGCGCAAAUAAUUUUGCGGAACGAAACUUGUGUUUAAAACCAAUUACACAAUAAGUUCGUUUACCUUAUUUGUCAUCAGUCCGUAAGAUGCAUCAUCUCAUAGAAAUAGACUUGUCCAAAUGUGGACAGGGUGAAGGCAUCAAAUUAAAGAACUGAAUAUUAACAAAUCAUUAGGAAUUUUCUUGUUUUUAUAGGUAAUAAAAAAAAUGUCGUUCAUUUGGAUAAAAAAACGGGAAUGCAAGACAACAGAUUAACCCGAUAUCGUUUUUCCAGUGGACGAUUCUAUUAGGUUUUUGACACGUGUGACUGUUGAAACUUAUUUUCGUACGACGUUUAUGCAUUUUUUCUUUAUCAGUUUUCGUGCUUGAAGAUCAUUAUUUACCAAGUUUUCUGGAAUUGAUUAAGAGCUACGCGAAUCUAUUUUUCUUGUUUCUGAAAUGAUGAUUUAAUUUUGUCUUUGUCCGUGCAUCCCCUUUUUUUUACUGUAAAUUACUAGACAAUGUCAUGCGUAGUUUAUAACAGCUGAGCAAUAAUAUUUCAUCGAACUAAAAUGAUGAUAAAAUAGCAUAACAAACAUAUUGCUAGAAAGGUGAAAUAUAUAUUGAUUUUGCAUAUUUUUUUGUCUUCAAAGAUGAUUGUUUUUCUUUUUUUUUUCCCGACCGACCGACCCGACUUUUUCAUGGGGAAAAUCUGUAAACCAAC